UCGAUAACUGGGGUGAAGUCGUAACAAGGUAGCCGUAUCGGAAGGUGCGGCUGGAUCACCUCCUUUCUAAGGAA
rnacentral:rRNA from 1 species